rnacentral:rRNA from 1 species
AUUAGGUCUAUGGCGUGCUGGACAGCUUGUACGAUAUAUAUCGAGUGCCUUGGGUCCUUGCGGACAGCGUGCCGUAGACGA